GAUGAACGCUGGCGGCGUGCUUAACACAUGCAAGUCGAGCGAAGCGAUUUUAAGGAAGCUUUCGGGUGGAAUUAAAAUUGACUGAGCGGCGGACGGGUGAGUAACGCGUGGGUAACCUGCCUCAUACAGGGGGAUAACAGUUAGAAAUGACUGCUAAUACCGCAUAAGCGCACAGUGCUGCAUAGCACAGGGUGAAAAACUCCGGUGGUAUGACAUGGACCCGCGUCUGAUUAGGUAGUUGGUAGGGUAACGGCCUACCAAGCCGACGAUCAGUAGCCGACCUGAGAGGGUGACCGGCCACAUUGGGACUGAGACACGGCCCAAACUCCUACGGGAGGCGGCAGUGGGGAAUAUUGGACAAUGGGGGAAACCCUGAUCCAGCGACGCCGCGUGAGUGAAGAAGUAUUUCGGUAUGUAAAGCUCUAUCAGCAGGGAAGAAAAUGACGGUACCUGACUAAGAAGCCCCGGCUAACUACGUGCCAGCCGCCGCGGUAA
rnacentral:rRNA from 1 species